ACUCCUACGGGAGGCAGCAGUGGGGAAUCUUGGACAAUGGGGGCAACCCUGAUCCAGCCAUGCCGCGUGAGUGAUGAAGGCCCUAGGGUCGUAAAGCUCUUUCGCCUGUGAAGAUAAUGACUGUAGCAGGUAAAGAAACCCCGCGUACAUCCGUGCCAGCAGCCGCGGUAAUACGGAGGGGGUUAGCGUUGUUCGGAAUUACUGGGCGUAAAGCGCGCGUAGGCGGACU
rnacentral:rRNA from 1 species